rnacentral:rRNA from 1 species
GGACGAACGCUGGCGGCGUGCCUACUACAUGCAAGUUGAGCGAUGAAGAUUGGUGCUUGCACCAAUUUGAAGAGCAGCGAACGGGUGAGUAACGCGUGGGGAAUCUGCCUUUGAGCGGGGGACAACAUUUGGAAACGAAUGCUAAUACCGCAUAACAACUUUAAACAUAAGUUUUAAGUUUGAAAGAUGCAAUUGCAUCACUCAAAGAUGAUCCCGCGUUGUAUUAGCUAGUUGGUGAGGUAAAGGCUCACCAAGGCGAUGAUACAUAGCCGACCUGAGAGGGUGAGCGGCCACAUUGGGACUGAGACACGGCCCAAACUCCUACGGGAGGCAGCAGUAGGGAAUCUUCGGCAAUGGACGAAAGUCUGACCGAGCAACGCCGCGUGAGUGAAGAAGGUUUUCGGAUCGUAAAACUCUGUUGGUAGAGAAGAACGUUGGUGAGAGUGGAAAGCUCAUCAAGUGACGGUAACUACCCAGAAAGGGACGGCUAACUACGUG